CCUCAGAGAACUUAAACUGUCAUCGAUGGGUUCGCUUACGCAGAAGCUCCGCUGACUAACAGAUUCACAUGAUGAGUAAAGUAAUUUCUUAACGGAUGAGAACAUGAUCUAAGAGGUGAUACAACUUUUACAUACUUUUCUUUUUAAGUGUUUCAAACUGAGCAAAAAGAGAAUUUUUAAGGAGCACCAUGAGUCUGCAGAAUUUAUGAGCUAACUUGUGAAACUACGGGGACAAGAUGACAUAUCAGCUGUGGGAAUUUGGGUUAUUUACUUGAAAGUUUAAGAGACUCAAAUCACUGCAAGUUGCACAAUUUUCACUGACUGUUCUAACCGCUGUAGUUCUGUUUUUAUUUAACACUGUGCUGCAUCAGUGCGCCUUUUUAUAGUGUCUCUUUUUCUAAUAGAGACUUAAGGAUUAUAAUAAAGGUGAUCUAUUAACUCUAUUUCUACGGGAUAAGGUUUAAAAUAAAGGCAAUACAGACAGCCAGAGACGGCCCAAGCCUCAGUGAGGCCCUAAGCAAAAUGUGAUUUUAGGUCCCUCUAUUUCUGCCAAUAAUAUUGAUUGUUGAUCGUUCACACAACUUCACAAAUCUCUUUGAUUAACAUUCAUGACGUGCAAACAGACCUUUAUCUUGGUGUUUUUUCUCUUAUUCUAAGCAGGCGCUUAGUUUGCUUGUCCCUUGGGCCGACUCUGCAGACAGCAGUCCAACAAAAACAGUCAUGACUCUGCAGUGGAAGUCCCCACGUCCACAUCUGUGAAGGCUCCAUUAAUGCUGAACUAUAUCUCAUCCCUAUGAAGCAUCCCUAAACCUCAAUCUGACAACUAAGAGAAGAGUCCUGGACUGAUGUGGUCCUGAUUUGUCUCUAUAUCAGGUAAGAACGAGAAAAUCAAAACCUUCUAAGUCUCUUUAAUUGACUUAAACGACAUCAAAACUAAUUUUAUCCAAACUUAGAAUUGACUUUAGCUCUGAGACUUAAAAAAAAUCAAGAAGGAAUUACAGGAAAGAAGUUUGAGUUUCUGUCUUUCACACCUCCUCAUGCUUUACUGGACACACCGACCACAACAGAUGGCACACACACACACACACACACACACACACACACACACACACACACACACACACACACACACACACACACACACACACACACACACCAUGUACCCUUCAGAACAGCUUUAGAGCCUCACUGCCGUCAUCCAUUAGUCCAUCUGACCGGACUAAUCAGCUCUGUUAACACUCAUUAAACACUCGAACUAAAGUCCCGAUGCUGCUUAUCAUGUGUGUUUGUGUUUGUGUGUGUUUGUGUGUCCAUGAACCGCCCUUACAAAAACAUCGCCACAACAAACUGUGAUGUUUUUGACACCUAACACCAUAUUCAUCACCUCGUUCCGGUUUUAUGUCUCUGCGGUGCAGAAAAUUGCGGGGGCAGAAGAGGAAGUGAGAUUAUUGGGGGUAAAAAACUGAGCUGUGACGCUGGAGCUCAUAAAGUCGAUAAAAAUAGACGCAGCUCGUAAAAAAUUAAACUUUGAAGUUCAAUUUUAUGGUUUGCAGUUUUUAGUUAGAGCUGCAGAUGGAGGGUUUCUAUACUAACAGGGAACAGAGUUUGGGCCGGUGCGGCUCAGGAGGUGAAGUUCUUGACCCAAAUAUUCACACCCACACGUCGACGUGUGUCUUAAAGCUGAGGAGUCAGUGUUUUCUAAACCUCAGGACUGGGACUCGUGCUCUUUAGUCACUCUUUUUUAUCAGGCCGUGUAAUCCUGGAAUAAAUGGAGCAUGAGAAAUAUAUACGUACAUGUAAACCCUCAAAACACUCGAGUGAAACCACGUGAACUUUUAACGGCAUCAUUAGAGCUGCUGAUGAAAAACGACACAUUAGUCAGCAAGAUAAGAUUGUCAUUAGAAGAUAUCUGCCAACAGGGGGCGCCAACAUUGACACAAACCAGAGGAGUUUUGAAGGAUUUAAUCAGUUUAUUCUCACAUUAGAUUAAAAUGACCAUGUGAGAAAAUACAGAUUAAUCAGAAAGUAGCACGUUUCUUGAUAAUUUAGCUUUUAAUUUAAUGAUUUUUUUAAUGAUGUAAAAGCCGUUAUUUAAAUCUACCUUUUGAGCACAUACUGCCACAAAUGAACAGCUAAGAAACAGAGAAACACUUCAUAAUAAGGUUCCUGUUAUCCACAUUAAUUCACUCUUACAUUAAAUCGGAGUUAAUAAAUGUGUCAUUGAAUGUUAAAAGCUGCACUGGUUUUAAUUUUGCUACAAUCUAAUUAUAAAUAUGUUCCAUAAUCUUUAGUUAACUCUUUUAAAGUCUAAUUAAUGUACAUUAACAUCCUAUUGUUGUGCAAACUGUUAACACGUUUACAGUGAGAGCCUAUCAGUGAGUUACAAACAUUAAUAAAUGUGUUAAUUAAGCCUCUUAUCGGUGGUUAAUGAACUCUUAAUCAAUGAUAUAAAGUGUUUCCAGAAGGGGUCGUUAAAAAGUCUGAUCUGCAUGAAUCACAGCUUUCUGUGCCGGAGUGCCCCAUGGCGUACAGGCGGUGCCUUUUUGUAUUUUCUCGCCCCUCGAAUAGCCUGAAUGCACCUCUGCUCUAUGUGAGGUCAAACUGAGACUCUUGAGUUUGGACCGGGUUCUGGGGUUCUGUUGUCCUGAAUGUUGAUGCAGCUCAUAUUGAGAGGCUAUAGUCCCCUUUAGCAUCGGUUAGAGGAUCCAGUCCUGAUCUUAGCCUGGUUCUUUUCAUGCUUGCUGUAUUUCUAAAACUAAAAGACAAAGCCUGAAAAUCUGUAAAAAACAGACGGUCAACUUUUCCUCAUUUAUGUUUACUUUAGUUCUCUUAUUGCAAAGUUUUAAUCUCUCAGUUUAACUCUCCAAUCAUGUCACUAAAGUGAGCGAAACGUCAAGUUUGACCAACAAGAAAUGAAAAACUAACGGAUAAUUCACUCAGAUGUGUGUCAGAGCAAAAAUCACAGAAACAGUUUUUCUGCUGAUUAAUCCUGACUUUUCUUUAACUGUUUACCAGCGUUGGCCUGUAAAGAUGCUCGCUCAGAUUCAGCACUCAGACCACACACACACAUAACACAUACAUAACACACACAAACAAACACACACAAACACACACACACUCACACAGCAAUCUGACUUCCUCUGUUCAGACCGCUGCCUCUCUCUGUGCUUCCUGUGUGUCUGACACAACGAGCGAAAACAUUCACUUUCAACACACUUUCACUUCGUCUUCCUGCAGCCUCUCGUGUGCUGAACAAGCGUAUGAAAGACAGAGAGAGAGAGUGAGAGAGAGAGAGAGAGAGAGAGAGAGAGAGAGAGGAUAUGAGAAAGAAGGAAUAAAGAGAAGAGAGUGAUCAAACCUGAAGUGAUAAAAAAGUGAACUGCAUUCCACUGUGAAGAUUGAUAUUUUUUGAAUGACAGAGAACAGAUGUUAGAUUUUUUUAAGUUGCUGAUGUUUUAAUGUUUAUUCUUGUCUAAGUUUGUGUUUCUAUGAUUCAUAGUUUUAUUAGAACUUUUUAUUUGCUUGGUUUUAUGCGUUUUGUCUCAGAGAGCUUUUAUCAUUUUUACGGCAUGUUUUAUUUAGAUUGUUAAUUUUGAUUUGAAACUGUUUAAUGCAAUACUUCAUUUCCUGUCGGGGCUUGUUUGCACUUGUAGCGCACCUGUGAAUUUCUACCUUUUGAACCAACAUGAAAAGACCCUGUGGUAGAUAAGGCUGAAGAGGUGGGAAGAGGAGUAUGGUCGAUUGAUGACUGCAACUCCUUACUGGCAGGCCUCCCUGCGUGCACAUUUAGAUCCCUGCAGAUGAUCCAGGAUGCAGCAGCGUAUCUGGUCUACAACCAAUGCAAAACAUCUCAUAUCACUCUGCUGUUCAACUGCUAUACAACGAUAGCAUCUCUGCAAAAUGAAACUGUAGCAUCGUAAACUCAGAGUUUAUUAUCUCACAGAGCCAUCGGUGGAGCUUGAUGUUAAACUAGACUACGUUACUUUCUUCACUUUGCAGAACAGUGAACCUCACAUUGUACGUUGUUGAAUUCUUAGUCCAGAAGGUUUGUUUCUGUGUUUUGAGGAUGUCCAAAGAAGACGCACCAAACUGAUGCUGGAGAAACGACAAACAAACAGAUUUUCAUUUUUUUUCUUUUAACAGUAUCUGCAGGUUGGUUCUUGGAUCUGAAAGCAUGUUUGUCUUGAAAGUUUUGUUUGGGACUCUUAGAGACUUUGUUUGUUGGAUUGGGUGGACAAUGGGAGGAGUUGGUGGAGAACGAUGUUCGGGUUUGAUCGUGGGUUACCUAUAGCUUCUGUAUAUAAGGCACACAGUUUAACUGCAGAGGUAAACCUGAACCCCUGACUGCUCGUUUAGCGUGACCUCAAUCUAAGGGUCUACGUGAGGAGUUUACUCAGAGCUGCGCAGGAGAACAACAGCGACAUGUGAGGGUGGGUGGGUGGGUGGCGGGACCUCACAGCCAGAGCAAAAUGACAGUGUGGAGAAUAUACAGACUGAAAACUAUACAUACAAAGAGCAAACAUACAUGGAGCAUUGAGUCACUGCGAAUGGUAAACAGUCAGAGGAACACCACACGGUUUACCAUGAUGAGAUCCACGUGACAGAAAAGUGGCUGAGGAAGAGGAAACAAACACAACAAGUAGAGGAAAGCAGACGGUGAUACAACAACACUUUAGAUUAGGAUGUCAGGAAGUUUAAAUCCAAGAUGAUUUCCUAUUUUUGUUCCAGUGUGCACGCUUUAUUCUGCAGCUUUAAAUCUUUGAAAUUAGCUCUGUCAUAUUUGGGCCUUUCAUGGACAUCUGUCAGACAACUCAGGUGAAUGCUUUACACCGUUUCAUGCAGCAGAACAUCACCUGUGUUUGGCAUCUCCAACCUCAUCAUGCAUCGCAGAAACCGUGGAGUGGUGAGACAUUAUCUUGCAGCCACAGCCUUCCAGAGAAUUCCUCAAAUGCAAAAGUCUUGUUGUAACCUGCUGCUGCAUCUUCAGAAAACUUGAUAGAAGAUUCAACAUAUUGCAGAUCCUGUUUAUGAUUCAUGUGCAGGUCUCACAGCUGGAUCGGUUUAAUGAAUCAGUGGAUGUAAACACCCGACUGUGUCGAAUCACAUCUGCAAUUAACAGUUGACCAUCAAUCUCCAAAAAGGGGGUUGUUUCAAUUAGAAUAAAAGACGAGUGUGGGUGUAACCGCAGGAAGUGUUGUUUCGAGGUCACGCGAGUCGGAGGAAGAGAUCUUUUAGCACCAGAAACGAGUAAAAACAGCAAAAAUGAAAAAUGUUAGAGAGAGGUGAAGAUAUGAAAUACAGGGAGAGGAGUGCAAGGGAAGACAUGCAGCAAAGGUUUGUGGUCAGGCGUCAAAACCAGCGACCGCUGCAAUGAUAACUAUCGCCUUGGUCUAUGGUGAGAGCACUGUUACCGCUAAACCAAAGUGGCACCUCUGUUUAGAAGAUGCAUCCAAUAAAACUCAUUCUGCAGUUAUAACUAACGUCAGUAAACGAUUCUCAAACGACCCAAAGGCCCACGGUGCUUCGACUCUGGAGGGGAAGCAAUCAACCGCCGUUUGCAAAAGUGAAAAGCGUUGAAUUGCAGGUCGCGCGUUGGCCAACAGUGUGUUGAAAGUGAGUGAGGACAGAGCCGAGGCAGCAUGUGAAAGACAGCACAAGUUGUUUUCCAGCGUUGACACACAGAGUCCGCUUACACAAACGGCGAUGCGUCCCUCGCUCUUUCCUGCUCAGGACUGAAAGGAAGUGGGUCAGUCGUCUAGGUUUCGCGUGAGAAGACAGGAGGAACUCGUUCUGGUGACGUUAUUCUCACGCAGACGAGCUGAAAUAAUCCCGACUUGUAUUUUUGCUGUUUUUUUUCUCUCUCUCUCACACUCUCCAUCCCUCCUCAACAGAAGCAGAAGUUUGAAGAAGGUGGCGCUGAGUCAGCAUGAGUCUGUCUAGAGUUUCUUCAACUGUUAUUUUUCUUUUGACGCUCAUAAAUGGACUUUUUUUUUUGUUUUACUAUUACCAUGGGAAAUGGUCAAACAAAGUGGAAAAUUGACAGAAGCAUCCAAAGUCACAAGGGUUACCGUUAAAGCCUGACAAGUAAGGGCAAAAAAAAAAAAAACAUGUCAAUGUGCGAAUGCUAAUUUUGCACACAGCUAGCUUGAUGCUAAUCCCUGCUUUAUGAGUCACAGUGCUAACCGAAUUUCAGUGUUGUUAUCCUCUGAGCCACAGGGACACCUUGGAUAAUUAUGUUUUUGUCCUAUUUCACUGUCUCUUGUAGACGCUAGACUUUAAAAUUCACCUUGACCUGGGUAAGGUAAGGCUCGAACAAUGUGCUUGGCCAUCCAGUUAAGAUGAAUGUUAUGUUGUUGGUUGUUAAAAUCUGGAUGAAAGAUGUUUUAUUUUACUUUCAGUUUUUAUUUUCCAGUUUUCCGCCUGAGGGAUUGCCACCUUAUCGUGGUCAGGGGGUUUGCGAGCCUCAGUGACCCAAAGAGCUAUACCAGCAGGAGCUUUAGUCUUCAGGUGGGACACCCAAGUUGGACAGGUCUCAGGGUAGACGCCUGACAGAGUGCAAUCCACUUCUCCAAGUUGAGAGCUGGACACACAGCUAACAAUCCAUGCCGUGAAUAAAACACUAACAGUGUUAAAAAUGUGUAAAAACAAAAAAGCCCUCCUCAAAUCUCUGACUGCCCUCUCAUAUGUGCAUUCCUAGAACCAGCUCUGAUGCUAACCAAGCUAAAUGCUAAAUCCAUGCUAAUCUCCAGCGCAUGAGUCAUUGGGGUGAUUUACGGGUUACAAGUUGCAAACUAAGACAAGUUUUCAGUUCAUGCUAAUCUCCAGCAGGUUAGCUACAGGGUUACCUUAUGUGAUGCUAAAUGCUAAGUACAUGCUAAUCUGUGGGCUGUAAUGAGUCUGAUAUUUAGAUGCAUCAUAGAAACAUAUGUUAGCUAAUCUGUGAGUAAAGAUCCUCUACAGCUGCUCUGUGCGUCUGAAUGUGAGUUUGACAUUGUGUGUGUGUGUGUGUGUGUGUGUGUGUGUGUGUGUGGGAGAGUGAGAAUUAGGAAAUAAUCGCCACAGAUGACGGACAUAUGCUCGGUCAAUAUGAAUCACAUUCAGUGCGGAUCAUCAGCUGUGGCCACUGACGUAAUGAGAAAAACUGAAGAGGCCCGAACUCUGAUUUUCCCACCAUGUUACAGUCUGAUGAACUACCUGUGAUCCAAAAUACACACCAUCAAAUCUACGCAGACGGACGAACAACAUCCUGCAGAAAAUAUUCAAACUACCUUCAUCAGAGGAGCUGAGGCAGGGCUGAAAUCUGCACAAAGAUCAGCUUCUCUGAGGUGUUUUAGUUCAUCAGAAGAGUCAACAAGUUUUUUUUGAUAUUGGUCAGCAGCACUUCCUCAGACACGAUGACUUCUACGGGAAAACACUCAACAUCCAGUCGCUUAGGUUCACCAUUAGGUCUCGGUUGUUCCCUUACGUUUAUGGUUUGUAGUUUAAUGUUCUUAUCUGAUACCGGCCCCGACUCAGUACAUGCUAUCAUAACAGACAGACAUCUCAACACUAGAGUCUGAUCAGAACUGAAAACACUCAGUCUGCUGUUGGCUCAGUCUUCGGGACACGUCUUUUUUCCCUCUGGAAAGUCGCAAAAUCGCAUCACGCUUGAUGUGUAAAGUCAGGCGCAUCAAAAUUCGCCUCUGAAUAUUUCGUAGUUUUGCAUCCCAUAUUUGCGUCGUUCCCGGUGUGUAAGGCAGACUAAUAAAACCCUGAAGGUGUAAGAAGAUAAAAUCUUUUUGUUUUGGUUCUACGUCACUAAUCUCCAAAUCUGACGACAUUUUUAUUAUUCUCUCCCUGCACUAUCGUCGAGGAGAAACAGUUCAGCGUCCACCACAUGCCGAUCACUCACUGCUUUCUCCUUUUACAACCUCUGUAGGCCUCCUCGGUUGUUGUGGUUGCCAGAUCUGAGGGGGAAAAUCCCCCUUAAACGUAACCAGGCUGCUGACGGUGAAAUGGCUACCAGACCGGAGGAAAGGAAGGCAAGAAGGAGAGGAAGAGACGUGCGGCGCUUUGAUGGCGCUGUCGAGGACAGGCUGCGUGUGGCAUGCAUGUCUGACUCUGAGUGUGUACAUGAUUGUGUGUGUGUUUAUGAAUGUGUGUGUGUGUGUGUGUGCCUCGGUGUGGGUGAAUGUGAGUGUACUGUAUAUAUUGGUUUGCACGUUUUGUUGUCUGUCAUUCCGCCCGUGAGCGACCGCUGUUUACAUACACAAAGCUGAGCAGGGGUGGCACUGUGUGUGUGUGUGUGUGUGUGUGUGUGUGUGUGUGUGUGUGUAAGUGGGGAGGCAGGGGUGUUAGCAGUCCUUGGGUUUCAGCGGUUAACCCCUAAACUUUUUAUUUUUCAGAGGAGUCGGGGACCGGUGGAGGACGGUGGAGCGUCGGUUCUGGUGUGUGGGCACGCCGAGCUCUUUAUGGGCCGGCAACAAUCAGGAGGGGAGGAAGUGAAGGGUAAAUAGGAGUGGGAGGAGAGUGGGUAAGGAAGUGAAUGCCCCCCAAUACCCAACAUAACCCACCGAGGCCCCCCUCUGAAAAACACCCUCACACCACCACCACCACCGGAGGGAGAAGAGGAGGCUGCUGGACCACAGACCACCCAGAGAGACGGAGACAGACACAGACAUGAAGACAGAGACAGACAGACGGCUGGAGAGCAAAUUUAAAGAAAUUAAAAAACAAUGAAAAAUCUGCCAGAAAGAAAUAUGAUGCAUGGAAAAUAUAAUGACUAACAAAGAAGAGGAACCAGGAAAAAAUGAACGGAAAAAAUUCUUUGGUUUUUUUCUCCCCAAUAAAAAUAAACAUAUUUGGAAAAGAAAAUCAUGAUUUGGAAAGAAAAGGCGU
rnacentral:lncRNA from 1 species